GUGGGGAAUAUUGGACAAUGGGCGAAAGCCUGAUCCAGCCAUGCCGCGUGUGUGAAGAAGGUCUUCGGAUUGUAAAGCACUUUAAGUUGGGAGGAAGGGUAGUAACCUAAUACGUUGCUACUUUGACGUUACUGACAGAAUAAGCACCGGCUAACUUCGUGCCAGCAGCCGCGGUAAUACGAAGGGUGCAAGCGUUAAUCGGAAUUACUGGGCGUAAAGCGCGCGUAGGUGGUUCAGUAAGUUGGAAGUGAAAUCCCCGGGCUCAACCUGGGAACUGCUUUCAAAACUGCUGAGCUAGAGUACGGUAGAGGGUGGUGGAAUUUCCUGUGUAGCGGUGAAAUGCGUAGAUAUAGGAAGGAACACCAGUGGCGAAGGCGACCACCUGGACUGAUACUGACACUGAGGUGCGAAAGCGUGGGGAGCAAACAGGAUUAGAAACCCUGGUAGUCC
rnacentral:rRNA from 1 species